rnacentral:rRNA from 1 species
UAAGGAAUAUUGGUCAAUGGACGCAAGUCUGAACCAGCCAUGCCGCGUGAAGGAUGAAGGUCCUCUGGAUUGUAAACUUCUUUUAUCUGGGACGAAAACGGGAUUUUUAUCUCAAUUAACGGUACCAGAGGAAUAAGCACCGGCUAACUCCGUGCCAGCAGCCGCGGUAAUACGGAGGGUGCGAGCGUUAUCCGGAUUUACUGGGUUUAACGGGUGCGUAGGUGGGCUUAUAAGUCAGUGGUGAAAUCUCCGGGCUUAACUUGGAAACUGCCGUUGAUACUAUAGGUCUUGAAUUAUCUGGAGGUAAGCGGAAUAUGUCAUGUAGCGGUGAAAUGCUUAGAUAUGACAUAGAACACCAAUUGCGAAGGCAGCUUACUACAUAUAAAUUGACGCUGAGGCACGAAAGCGUGGGGA